GGCCUACCUGGGGGAGGUGCCCCAUGCUUGAGGUGCGGGGGCUCUCCUUGCUCUACGGCAAGGCCCAGAUCCUCUUCGGGGUGGACCU
rnacentral:tRNA from 1 species